GGAAUUAACACUAAAAUAGAAAUCUGGAAAGAACAAAAAUGCAUUUGGCAAGGAAAAAUCAAUUAGGGCACAUAAAUUGCAAUUUAUAGGGCAAAGAGAGAGAAGAACCCCAGCUGCGAAUUUAUCAAUAGAAAAAAGAAGCUAAAAUUGUUGAGGGAAAAACAAUGAACCAUAACCAUAACUACCUAACUUGACUAUAACUGUCUAACUAAACCAUAUAGUUAAC
rnacentral:misc_RNA from 1 species